UACAGAGGUCUCAAGCGUUGUUCGGAAUCACUGGGCGUAAAGGGUGCGUAGGCGGCAUGGUAAGUCAGAGGUGAAAUCCCGGAGCUCAACUUCGGAAUUGCCUCCGAUACUGCCAUGCUUGAGGACUGGAGAGGAGUCUGGAAUUCACAGUGGAGCAGUGAAAUGCGUAGAUAUUGUGAGGAACACUAGUAGCGAAGGCGAGACUCUGGACAGAUCCUGACGCUGAGGCUCGAAGGCCAGGGGAGCAAACAGG
rnacentral:rRNA from 1 species